GAUGAACGCUGGCGGCGUGCCUAAUACAUGCAAGUCGAGCGAACAGACGAGGAGCUUGCUCCUUUGACGUUAGCGGCGGACGAGUGAGUAACACGUGGGUAACCUACCUAUAAGACUGGGAUAACUUCGGGAAACCGGAGCUAAUACCGGAUAAUAUUUCGAACCGCAUGGUUCGAUAGUGAAAGAUGGCUUUGCUAUCACUUAUAGAUGGACCUGCGCCGUAUUAGCUAGUUGGUAAGGUAACGGCUUACCAAGGCAACGAUACGUAGCCGACCUGAGAGGGUGAUCGGCCACACUGGAACUGAGACACGGUCCAGACUCCUACGGGAGGCAGCAGUAGGGAAUCUUCCGCAAUGGGCGAAAGCCUGACGGAGCAACGCCGCGUGAGUGAUGAAGGUCUUCGGAUCGUAAAACUCUGUUAUUAGGGAAGAACAAACGUGUAAGUAACUGUGCACGUCUUGACGGUACCUAAUCAGAAAGCCACGGCUAACUACGUG
rnacentral:rRNA from 1 species